AUGGCCUGGGCCCCUCUCCUCCUCACCCUCCUGACUCACUGCACAGGAUCCUGGGCCGAGCCUGUGCUGACUCAGCCAUCCUCAGUGUUGGGGGCCCCGGGCGAGAGGGUCACCAUCUCCUGCACUGACAGCAGCUCCAAAAUUGGGAGUAACUAUGUGUAUUGGUACCAGCAGCUCCCGGGAAAGGCCCCCAAAUGCAUCAUUUAUGAUAAUAGCAACCGACUCUCAGGGGUCCCUGAUCGAUUCUCUGGCUCCAGGUCUGGCAGCUCAGCCACCCUGACCAUCACGGCGCUGCAGGUUGAGGAUGACGCUGAAUAUUACUGUUCAGGGUGGGACAGCAGUAUCAGCGGACCCACAGUGCUGCAGGCCUGUGAGGAACUGAGACAAAAACCUGCUGUCCCUCUUGAAAUGGGGCUCCCCUAG